UUAAUGAGUCAACAAAAAUGAGAAAGUAAAGGCUAAGACAGAUGUUUGAACCGGUAUUCCUUAAUCUCAGCCCUUUGAAUCGGUCAAACACACAUAUUUGAUCACAUCUUCAAUUUUUUACUUAUGGUUUGACUGAGACUCGCAUGUAUUUGACCAAGCCCCACCUAUCUAUUUCCUCUCUAUCCUUAUCUUGACCCGUUCUUUCGCUUUCAUUCGCCCAACAUGUAGUUUAAAACACCGAACAUUGGAGAAUCGCUAUUUGAAACACCACCAUCGCACCACUCACGACUGCUGAUCCCUUUGUCGCACUUCUGAAAAACCUAGAACCAACAAUGCUUAAUGCCACCAUCACCAACUAACCACCAUCUCAGAACCCACAUUGACUUCAACCACUAUCACAGAAAAACCCCACCACCAUCGUAGGCACCAAUCCCUCUUUCUCUGUCUCUAUCGCGGUCUUCAUUUUUGUAUUAAUGAAGAUAAGAUUGAUAUGCAGGUGACAAUGGAAGGAGAUGUGUUUAUGGUGGUGUUGUAAUUUUUAAUUUUUUUUGUUGGUACCUCUACCAUUGCCUCACCACCGCCACCACCACCACCACCAUUGAAAACCCACCAUUAGUUUUGAUUUUGUUUAGCCUUCAAAAACGCGUUUGUUACUUACCCAUGUCUUCUUUGUUUAAAACCCUAAUAUGCCCACACCCCACCGCCAAUUGCCAAAUAUGCCUCAUCCAAAUGCUCUCCAGUUCCAUGGCCAUCAGCCACAAUCGAAACCCUGGAACCCAUCUCAUGAAACCAUUUCGAGUUUUCAUCUGGCAUUUAAGACAAACCACUGAAUACCAAACUCUCAUUAUUCUCGACCCCUAUCUCCUUUAUUCGGCAUCAUCUCCUUCUAUAUUUUACAAUGAUGUUAUCCUCCAAUCCCACAUAUCAGAUCACACUUCACCACCAUCACCAUUACUCUAAAACCCUAGAUUUCAUAUGUCAUUGCCACCAUCGCCGCCCUCAUCUACGGUCAACACCAGAAUCGUUGUGCUACCGUCCCCACCAUACGUGAGCACCAUCAGACACAUCUCUCCAAGAACCAUAAAAACCCUGAAUUUGAACUUCUUCACCGUUGCCACCACAUACGUACCACCAAACAUCAGCCACAUCAAACUAAGCUCUAUUUAAUGCUUCUCUCUCUCUCUCUCUCUCUCUCUCUGUAUUGUUGUUACAGAGAAAUAUAUUUUCCAAAUCAAAGGUGAUUUCCCUUCAUUUCAUUAUUUUUGUUAUUUUGUAACUUUUCUUGCAGAUCAGUUUAAACAAAACUACAUAGGUUGGUCAUAGGUUUCUUGAAAGGGAUGAGUUAACUUUAAUACCUCUGAUUUAAGUUUCUAACCAUUUGCAGUCAAAUAGAUUCAUUUCAUGCAUAGGUGACAGUUGAUUCAUUGACCAUCGGUUUAUUCUUUUUUACUUCUCAGAUUUUGUUCUUAGAUAUAUUUUUGAUUCUAAUUUAAAAAUUUUAUUUGUUCAAUGGAUUUGUGUAUGCUAGGGUUUUGUUGAGUGAUGGUAGCCACCUACAAAAGGUUAAUUUCUUAUUUGUCUUCAUAUCUUAUUUUUGUUCACAUUCUAUUCUUAUUUCAUAUGUAUUUACUUGAUAAAUAGUAUAUGGAUGUUUUAUUAUCCAUGAUUAAAUUUGAACUUGUACACCACAGGUCUUAAGCUACAAAGUUAAAGUCAUUAAUUUCCUUAAAUUUGUAUAUAAGCUAAUAUUCCAAAUGUGAGUUUGUCCAUUAAAUUAGAACUGAAAUCUACUAUUUGUGGGUUUUCAUGACUAUCUGAACAGAGGUAUCUGUUCAUAUCAUAAAUUGAAUUGAGAAUGAAUUUAUUAACAUAUAUGUUGGCUAUAGUGGAUCAAUGUUUAAGUAAUUGGGUGAUUAAUGACAUUUUUCCCCUGGAAGGUGUAAGAUAUGUGUUUAUUUUAGAUGCUCGGUUAAAACUCUUUGUGUUUUGUAGGAGUGGUGAAUUUGGUAACAAAAAUUUGUGUCCUGUAAGCUCUCAUCAUUAGUUGGUGUCGUUUAUGAUGCAUAUUGAAAAGAAGUAUUUUUUGUUGCUUAAUGACCUUUCUGCCCCUAUAUGGUCUUGAUGACCUUUCUGGAACUUAUAUGCAAUAAUUCAGUUUGGGAUGGGUUUAUGCAAGUACCAAGUAUGAUCAUGUCCGUUACAAGUGAAAUAUGACAUAUCAGGCAGGCAAACAGGUCCCUGAAUUGUUAAAUUUAACGACUCAAUUGUUGUAUUAAUUUUAAAAUGACUAUUUUAACAUUAGACCAAAACUGCAAAAAGCAGUUACCAUAUAGACCAAUUAUAUAAAAUUCUAUUAUUUUUUUUAAUCAAGAGUUAUAACUUUUCAAUAUAACUACAUAGAUGUCCCCUAUUCAUUUUGAUGUUUACAAUGUUUAGUCCAAAUUUAAAACCAUUUUAACAUCAUUAACUGUUAACCUUCCUAUUUUCGAGUAUUGAGGCUCAAAGAUUGCAACAGAAAAUCACAAUUUUAUAUAGAAAAAACAAUCAUUGAUCCUUUUGAAUCAUUAAAGCCAUCCUGGAAUUUUAACUUUUGAAUUCCUGGUUGCAACAAGCUAUAAUCGUGAUAUUGAUUAAUUUUUUCAUGUUUUUAAAUGAGAUGGAUGUUAUAACCAAAUAGUGAACGUCAAAGAUAAUCUAUUAGUGAUUUCUUUUAUGCUGAUUUUAUGGUCUUUUUAUAUGCAUAACCAAGUAUAACAACCAUGUUUUCAAGUAAAGUAGACAUUAGUUAUUUGAGGGAGAAUUUGUCCAAUUCCAGGUAGAGUGGAUUGGAGAUUAAUAGCAACACCAAAAGAAAAGGGCAAAAUUGUCCAAUUCAUGGGAAAGACAACAUGGGGGGCAUAUUAGUUGCUUUUGGGAGAAGUUGUACAACAAGGCUAAAUCCAAGAUCCAAAAUAACCUCUUCGGUAUUCAAAAACACCAACAACAGAGGCAAACUUGUCUAGCCAUGUAUCAACCAGCAAGAGCAAAAUCAUCCAAAAAUAUAUUCAAGCCUAUCAAGUCAGAGCCCAUCUUUAUAUAACCACUUUAGUUGUGUAAUAUUAGAAGUUGGAUUGUCAAAUUUAUAUCUACCCACCUUACAAAAAAAAUUCUUUUAGGUGACAUAUUCACAUGAAUCUAUAAGGAUUGUAGGCUUAUUAAUUCCAUUACUAUUUAAGAUAAUUUUGUUAUAGACCCAUCUAUACAUACUAAAUAUGUAAUAAUUUAUCUUAUUUUUGAAAAAAUAUAUUUGUUUAAUUUUAAUGUA